rnacentral:rRNA from 1 species
GACGAACGCUGGCGGCGUGCCUAAUACAUGCAAGUAGAACGCUGAAGAAGAGGAGCUUGCUCUUCUUGGAUGAGUUGCGAACGGGUGAGUAACGCGUAGGUAACCUGCCUUGUAGCGGGGGAUAACUAUUGGAAACGAUAGCUAAUACCGCAUAACAAUGGAUGACACAUGUCAUUUAUUUGAAAGGGGCAAUUGCUCCACUACAAGAUGGACCUGCGUUGUAUUAGCUAGUAGGUGAGGUAACGGCUCACCUAGGCGACGAUACAUAGCCGACCUGAGAGGGUGAUCGGCCACACUGGGACUGAGACACGGCCCAGACUCCUACGGGAGGCAGCAGUAGGGAAUCUUCGGCAAUGGGGGCAACCCUGACCGAGCAACGCCGCGUGAGUGAAGAAGGUUUUCGGAUCGUAAAGCUCUGUUGUAAGUCAAGAACGAGUGUGAGAGUGGAAAGUUCACACUGUGACGGUAGCUUACCAGAAAGGGACGGCUAACUACGUGCCAGCAGCCGCGGUAAUACGUAGGUCCCGAGCGUUGUCCGGAUUUAUUGGGCGUAAAGCGAGCGCAGGCGGUUUGAUAAGUCUGAAGUUAAGGCUGUGGCUCACCAUAGUUCGCUUUGGAAACUGUCAAACUUGAGUGCAGAAGGGGAGAGUGGAAUUCCAUGUGUAGCGGUGAAAUGCGUAGAUAUAUGGAGGAACACCGGUGGCGAAAGCGGCUCUCUGGUCUGUAACUGACGCUGAGGCUCGAAAGCGUGGGGAGCGAACAGGAUUAGAUACCCUGGUAGUCCACGCCGUAAACGAUGAGUGCUAGGUGUUGGAUCCUUUCCGGGAUUCAGUGCCGCAGCUAACGCAUUAAGCACUCCGCCUGGGGAGUACGACCGCAAGGUUGAAACUCAAAGGAAUUGACGGGGGCCCGCACAAGCGGUGGAGCAUGUGGUUUAAUUCGAAGCAACGCGAAGAACCUUACCAGGUCUUGACAUCCCGAUGCUAUUUCUAGAGAUAGAAAGUUACUUCGGUACAUCGGUGACAGGUGGUGCAUGGUUGUCGUCAGCUCGUGUCGUGAGGUGUUGGGUUAAGUCCCGCAACGAGCGCAACCCCUAUUGUUAGUUGCCAUCAUUCAGUUGGGCACUCUAGCGAGACUGCCGGUAAUAAACCGGAGGAAGGUGGGGAUGACGUCAAAUCAUCAUGCCCCUUAUGACCUGGGCUACACACGUGCUACAAUGGUUGGUACAACGAGUUGCGAGUCGGUGACGGCAAGCUAAUCUCUUAAAGCCAAUCUCAGUUCGGAUUGUAGGCUGCAACUCGCCUACAUGAAGUCGGAAUCGCUAGUAAUCGCGGAUCAGCACGCCGCGGUGAAUACGUUCCCGGGCCU